rnacentral:lncRNA from 1 species
AUAAUAAAAGAGCAUAAAUAAAAUAAUAGAUAGGAUAGGUCAGAGUCAACCUCUUCACAAACUCAAUGAUCAUCAUAAUACAUGCAAAGUUCUUGUAUGAUGCCAUGCUGAGUGGCAGGGCUCUGUUUCAGUGCUGUGCAAACAUAUUCCAAGUUCUUUGGCAUUGAAUAUUUCUCUUCAGUCUAAUAGCUGAUGGUUCAGAAUGUUACCUAUGGCUCUCCAUUUUCCACUUCACAAUAUUUUGUUGUUCUGGUAUAGGUGCAUGACAAUCUUUAUUGUUACAUUGCAGUACUUGCUGAGCCUCUGUGAUAGAAUCUGUUUGGAUAAAUUCCUCCACUGCUGCAGUCUAUGUUUGCACUAUCCAUCAUUUUAUGAUAAAAUGAUUAUGCUCCUUUCAGCUGCCUAUGCAUGUAUGAGUACCAUACAUACACAUGGAAUUUGACAGGGCUUGCCAACUGAAAUCAAUACAUAAAAUACAUGCUAUCUUAUAUAUUAAACUAGAUAGUAAUAUAGAUCUACCAUUAAUUUUCUGUCAUCUUUGAUUCCAAAGUAUCACUGGAUUAACGUUUUGCCUGAACAAAGGAAUCAUGUUAUGAUAAUUCAUCAAUACAUCUCUAAUCCAUUAAUUAAAAUCCCUAUCAUAAUUUUAAAGCACUACAGUAAAAUUCAGUUAUAGUGGGCAUUACAUGUCAGGUUAGAAUUGCUAGUUACAGAU